rnacentral:rRNA from 1 species
AAAAUUUAUUAUUAAUUUGAUUUAUAUGUAAAUUUUUGUAUGAAUUUAUAUUUAUUUUAAAAAUAUUUAUAAUUUAUUUAUUCGCAGUAAUUAGUAUUAUUAAUUAAAGAAAUUUAGAAAUAGCAAUAUUAAAGAGUAUUGACCAAAUUGGUGCCAGCAGUCGCGGUUACACUAAUAAUACAAAUAAAUUUUUUUAGUAUUAGUUAAAUUUAUAAAUUAAAAGAAAAUUGAAUUUAUUAAGUGAAAUUUUAUAUUCAAAAUAUUUUUAUAAAAAAUAAUUGAAGCUAAAAAAUUUUUUUAAA